rnacentral:lncRNA from 1 species
ACACUUUCAUAACAGUUCAUCUGUGUUAACAUACAAAUUCUCGCAGCAACACUCCAGGUCUCACUCCAUUGCUCAGGCUGGAACUUUUAUGAUUUUUUUAAGCUCAUAAGGGAGUAAUUCUUAAUUGUUAGGUGGAGCUCAAGAAGGGUCAGUGAAGACCCGCAAAGUGGUCAAAAUGCCAGGCUGAGCUGCUCUUCAGUUUGGAUGCCUGCAACAAAAAUGAAACAAAACAAGAAAACAAGCAAAAAAAAAUCACUUUUUGUUCUGUAAAACUUUACAUUUGGAAACUUACCAACUGGUAACAUGAGAGGAUUAAAUGAAGAUAACGAUCAAGUAAAAUAACUGGCAUAGCACCUGGUUCUAAUAGGCUUCUAUAAAUGCUGCUUCCCACCACUCCUCUCUCUUCCACCUGUUUCACCUUUUGAGAACCCUGAAUCAUGACUUCCAGCUACAUUAUGCCUGGGCAUCAUGACUAUUCAGCUCCCUGAAGGGAAUGCCUUCUGAUGAUUGACACUUAGUAUCUCUUUCUUACUCCUCUGCCUAUCCCCUUGUCUUAUUCCCUUACUACUCUCAACCAGGAAGCUGGAGUAGCUGAAAGUAGAUUUCUUCCAACACGAAAAUGCCUAGGUCAUUAGGUACAUAAGAGGUGCUAACUAACUGAUAAAUAAAUAAGGAGAGAGACAGAGAGAGAAAGGAAGGAAGGAAGGACAAAACCUAAGAUAGUAUAAGCCACUGCUAACCUGUGAUGUUAGAUCUAAGACGUCAAAGAGGAACUGGAGUGCUGGUGAUUCCACCACUGUGAUGCCUUGCUGUGGUCACAGUGCAAGCGCUGGGUAUAUAUGUCAUUCUAAACUGGAGAUAUAGGACCUAUUUCAUGUGAGAACAAGCCUGUUUGAUAUCAGACAUCACCUGGUCAAGCCCUAGCAUUGACCAUUAUUCCAAAGAAAUAAAAAAACUCCUCUGUGAGAUCAGGCUCAAAGGACAGGACUUGAGUUUAAAAUAAAUUUCUGAAAAGACUCAAAAUCAAAGAGCAUGAAGUUGUGGCUAACCUGCAGAGAAUGCCUAUGGAUUUGCUUUUUAGUUCUCAGAAAAUGAGAUGAGCGGGGCAUCAGCUGAAGUUGAGAAGGACUAAAUGUAGAGACACCUAAGGAGAUUACUACUUUUUAUAGUGAUUAAUGCUCUUAAUGAAGUCAUUCUUCCAACUUACCACUUUGUAAGAGGUUUAUAUACAUUCACAGCUGCCCCUCUUCCUUCAGCAAACCAAUGGUAUGGGAGAUAUAGCACUUGACUUGGAAUCAGGCAGUCUGAUUUAGAAUCUGGCUUUUCACUAUCAGCUGUAUUAGCAUGGAGCCUAGAAGAUAUCGGAUGGUUAAUUCACCAGUGGAAUGAAACUGCUGUUUGGCUGCACAGUUUACUGCUUUAUCUAUCCACCACUGCUAAAUUAGAGCACUAACUAAAACUGUAUUUUCCAUGCUAAGUUCUUCUCUGUUCAUGGAAAUAAAAUAAUUGUCCCCAAGGGAGAACAAAAACAAAGAUAAGCAUUUUCGUUUUCUUUCGUUGACAUUGUUCUUGUUUGGAUAGGUUGCAAGA